rnacentral:tRNA from 2 species
GCGCCAGUAGCUCAACUGGAUAGAGCAACAGCCUUCUAAGCUGUAGUAUGUGGGUUCGAGUCCCGCCUGGCGCACCA